UACAGAGGUCUCAAGCGUUGUUCGGAUUCAUUGGGCGUAAAGGGCGCGUAGGUGGCGCGACAAGUCAGUGGUGAAAGCUCGGCGCUUAACGCCGAGUCGGCCGUGCGAACUGCUGGGCUGGAGCACUGUAGAGGCAGGCGGAAUUCCGGGUGUAGCGGUGGAAUGCGUAGAGAUCCGGAAGAACACCGGUGGCGAAGGCGGCCUGCUGGGCAGUGGCUGACACUGAGGCGCGACAGCGUGGGGAGCAAACAGG
rnacentral:rRNA from 1 species